rnacentral:rRNA from 1 species
UACGUAGGUGGCAAGCGUUGUCCGGAUUUACUGGGCGAAAGAGCGCGCAGGCGGUCGUUCAAGUCGCGUGUGAAAGCCCCCGGCUCAACUGGGGAGGGUCACGCGAUACUGAUCGACUCGAAGGCAGGAGAGGGUAGUGGAAUUCCCGGUGUAGUGGUGAAAUGCGUAGAUAUCGGGAGGAACACCAGUGGCGAAGGCGACUACCUGGCCUGUUUCUUGACGCUGAGGCGCGAAAGCUAGGGGAGCAAACGGGG